rnacentral:rRNA from 1 species
CCUACGGGUGGCAGCAGUGAGGAAUAUUGGUCAAUGGGCGCGAGCCUGACCCAGCCAAGUAGCGUGAAGGAUGACUGCCCUACGGUUUGUAAACUUCUUUUAUAAAGGAGUAAAGUGAGGCACUUGUGCCUUUUUGUAUGUACUUUAUGUAUAAGGAUCGGCUAACUCCGUGCCAGCAGCCGCGGUAAUACGGCGGAUCCGAGCGUUAUCCGGGUUUAUUGGGUUUAAAGGGAGCGUAGAUGGGUUGUUAAGUCAGUUGUGAAAGUUUGCGGCUCAACCGUAAAAUUGCAAUUGAUACUGGCAGUCUGGAGUACAGUAGAGGCAGGCGGAAUUCGUGGUGUAGCGGUGAAAUGCUUAGAUAUCACGAAGAACUCCGAUUGCGAAGGCAGCUUACUAAACUGCAACUGACAUUGAGGCUCGAAAGUGUGGGUAUCAAACAGGAUUAGAUACCCCUGUAGUC